UACGGGGGGGGCAAGCGUUGUUCGGAAUUACUGGGCGUAAAGGGCUCGUAGGUGGCCAACUAAGUCAUACGUGAAAUCCCUCGGCUUAACCGGGGAACUGCGUCUGAUACUGGAUGGCUUGAGGUUGGGAGAGGGAUGCGGAAUUCCAGGUGUAGCGGUGAAAUGCGUAGAUAUCUGGAGGAACACCGGUGGCGAAGGCAGCUCGCUGGGACGGUACUGACGCUGAGACGCGAAAAGCGUGGGGAGCAAACAGG
rnacentral:rRNA from 1 species